GUGUCACUCAGAGAUCCUCUGAACACUUCAUUGGGAUGUUUUGUUUACGAUUUCCUGCUGAAGUGUUUGGGGGAACUCCAAUUGCCAC
rfam:Helianthus annuus linkage group 16, whole genome shotgun sequence.